GCCUGUAGCUCAGUGGUAGAGCAACCGGCUCAUAACCGGUAGGUCGUAGGUUCGAAACCUGCCAGGCCC
rnacentral:tRNA from 1 species